UCGGGCUGGUUGGAACACCCAGCAGAACAAACAAAAAAGAAAAUGAAGACAAAACCGUAAAGAAAAUCAAACGAAGCUCAAUAGAAGGAGUUUUCAGCAUCUGCAGGAAAUAGCUCGAUGAAAGGUUAAAGCUGAAGAGGGACGGGACAGGGGAGUACUACCAGAUGAAAGAUUUAGAACCCCUGAAAAAUGAAGGUCAAUCCUCGCCUUUGAAGUAGGGUCAAUGAAAUGCCGGUCAGAAUUUGCAGCAAGGAGGACAGAAUCCGGAGCGUCUUCCACCCAAAACUUAUCUUCUAUACACUUGGAGCCUUCCUCGGCCAUUGCAUGUGCCGCCUGGUUGCAUGUUCUCCCAGUAAUGCUAAACGAACAAGAGCGGAACUGGCUAGCAAGGGCCUUGGCCUCUCCAAUCAGGUGACCAACAUCGGACAGAUCAAUCGAUUCUUUUUGGAUUUUUGAGAUAAUCGCUUUAGAAUCACUUUCCAGCACUAUCGAGUGGAGGCCAAGAUCAAGAGCAAAUUAGAGGCCAUGAACCACAGCUUGAGCUUCAGCAAGGAUCGCCGAGGAGAAGCUGGCAUCAACGUUGAUCUUUAAUAGCGGGGGGAGAGGAGGUUGCCAUCGGGACAAAAUAUGAGUAUGAGGGUGUCUCAGAGUAGCCGAUAGAGAAUCAAUCUCGGCUAAGUGACUGCGAAUAGAGGUGGGACAGUCGGCAGUGACAGUGCAGAAUAGGCGGCGACAACAGACAUCAUAUUCCUAGGGUUAGGGUUUUAGAAACCUUAGGGAGUCAGGUCGGAUCCGAAUUCGGGUCGAAUGAUGGGCGGGUUAGUUUAUGGAACUGGGUUCUGGAACUGGAUCUACUGAGUGGUUGCUGGAUCUGUAUUUGGGUUUGUUGGGUUGUUUGGGUUGGUUAUCUGGGUUGUCUGUUUUGGGCCUCGGGUAGGUUGUAUUGGGCUUGUUUGUCUGGGCUCCUGGUGGGCUGUUGUAAUUUUGGGCUUCAAG